CUACUCACUAGUAAUUAUUGGCUUGAAGUCAGUGGUCUUCAGGAUGUUAUUUUCCAAGCACAUAAGUGAAAGCCAGUUCAAACGAUGCUGCCCCAUUGUGCUACAAAGCAGACUUUUUAUAAGUUUCAGUCUUGAAAAAGAACAUUCUCCUAUAAGUUGGUCACCGUCAUGCAUAUGAACACUUACAGUGUAAUUUCAACAUUUGGGAAUACAGAUUUCAAAUUGUUGGAAAUAAUUUAUCUGUACAAAUUCAAGUCAAAAAAAAAAAAAUCUGUAAAAUGAUUACAAAAU